GACGACGCUGGCGGCGUGCCUAAUACAUGCAAGUCGAGCGAGCGGCGGACGGGUUAGUAAUGUAUGGGGAUCUGCCUGAUAGAGGGGGAUAACUACCGGAAACGAUGACUAAUUACGCAUACUAUCGCAUGGAUCCGAUUGGGAUUAGCUAGUAGGUGGGGUAAAGGCUGACCUAGGCGACGAUCUCUAGCUGGUCUGAGAGGAGGACCAGCCACACUGGAACUGAGACACGGCCCAGACUCCUACGGGAGGCAGCAGUGGGGAAUAUUGCACAAUGGGCGCAAGCCUGAUGCAGCCAUGCCGCGUGUAUGAAGAAGGCCUUAGGGUUGUAAAGUACUUUCAGCGGGGAGGCGUUACCCGCAGAAGAAGCACCGGCUAACUCCGUGCCAGCAGCCGCGGUAAUAC
rnacentral:rRNA from 1 species